rnacentral:rRNA from 1 species
GCGCAGCUGAUGGAGCACACCGCGUGAGUGAAGAAGGGUUUCGGCUCGUAAAACUCUGUUGUUGGAGAAGAACGUGCGUAAGAGUAACUGUUUACGCAGUGACGGUAUCCAACCAGAAAGUCACGGCUAACUACGUGCCAGCAGCCGCGGUAAUACGUAGGUGGCAAGCGUUAUCCGGAUUUAUUGGGCGUAAAGCGAGCGCAGGCGGUUGCUUAGGUCUGAUGUGAAAGCCUUCGGCUUAACCGAAGAAGUGCAUCGGAAACCGGGCGACUUGAGUGCAGAAGAGGACAGUGGAACUCCAUGUGUAGCGGUGGAAUGCGUAGAUAUAUGGAAGAACACCAGUGGCGAAGGCGGCUGUCUGGUCUGCAACUGACGCUGAGGCUCGAAAGCAUGGGUAGCGAACAGGAUUAGAUACC